CCUACGGGUGGCAGCAGUGGGGAAUAUUGCGCAAUGGGCGAAAGCCUGACGCAGCGACGCCGCGUGAGGGAUGAAGGACUUCGGAACGUAAAGCUCUGUCAGCAGGGAAGAACGGUCACGGUGCUAAUCAGCAGUGAAUUGACGGUACCGGGAAAGGAAGCACCGGCUAACUCCGUGCCAGCAGCCGCGGUAAUACGGAGGGGGCGAGCGUUAAUCGGAAUUACUGGGCGUAAAGCGCUCGUAGGCGGUACGGCAAGUCAAGGGUGAAAUCCCCGCGCUCAACGUGGGAACUGCCUUUGAAACUGGCAAACUGGAGUGUGUGAGAGGAUAGUGGAAUUCCAGGUGUAGCGGUGAAAUCCGUAGAUAUCUGGAGGAACAUCAGUGGCGAAGGCGACUAUCUGGCACAUAACUGACGCUGAGGAGCGAAAGCGUGGGUAGCAAACAGGAUUAGAUACCCGUGUAGUC
rnacentral:rRNA from 1 species